rnacentral:rRNA from 1 species
UGGCUCAGAACGAACGCUGGCGGCGCGUCUUAAGCAUGCAAGUCGAACGGCAAGAGGUAGCAAUACCUCCUAGAGUGGCGGACUGGUGAGUAACACGUGGGUGACAUACCCUUCAGAUGGGGAUAGCUAUUAGAAAUAGUAGAUAAUACCGAAUACGAGCACAGGGUUAGAGAUCUGUGAGGAAAGGAGCUAAGGCUCCGCUGAAGGAAUGGCCUGCGGCCCAUUAGCUAGUUGGUGAGGUAAGAGCCCACCAAGGCGAUGAUGGGUAUCCGGCCUUAGAGGGUGAACGGACACAUUGGGACUGAGAUACGGCCCAGACUCCUACGGGAGGCAGCAGCUAAGAAUAUUCCGCAAUGGACGAAAGUCUGACGGAGCGACGCCGCCGUGGAUGAAGAAGGCCGGAAGGUUGUAAAAUCCUUUUGAAACUGAAGAAUAAGCGUUGUAGGGAAUGACAGCGUGGUGACAGUAGGUUUUGAAUAAGCAACGGCUAAUUACGUGCCAGCCGCCGC